UGGGGAAUAUUGCACAAUGGGCGCAAGCCUGAUGCAGCAACGCCGCGUGAGGGACGACGGCCUUCGGGUUGUAAACCUCUUUUAGUAGGGAAGAAGCGAAAGUGACGGUACCUGCAGAAAAAGCACCGGCUAACUACGUGCCAGCAGCCGCGGUAAUACGUAGGGUGCGAGCGUUGUCCGGAAUUAUUGGGCGUAAAGAGCUCGUAGGCGGUCUGUCGCGUCUGCUGUGAAAACCCGAGGCUCAACCUCGGGCCUGCAGUGGGUACGGGCAGACUAGAGUGCGGUAGGGGAGAAUGGAAUUCCUGGUGUAGCGGUGGAAUGCGCAGAUAUCAGGAGGAACACCGAUGGCGAAGGCAGUUCUCUGGGCCGUAACUGACGCUGAGGAGCGAAAGCGUGGGGAGCGAACAGGAUUAGAUACCCUGGUAGUCCACGCCGUAAACGUUGGGCGCUAGAUGUGGGGACCAUUCCACGGUUUCCGUGUCGCAGCUAACGCAUUAAGCGCCCCGCCUGGGGAGUACGGCCGCAAGGCUAAAACUUAAAUGAAUUGACGGGGUCAUAGCUGUUUCCU
rnacentral:rRNA from 1 species